ACUUAAACCCUUUUCAAAACAACUAUUCUUUUCACAAAAUAACUUUUAUAAUCUGUUUCUUAGCAGUCAGACUAAAAGCUUGGAGUGUCCGAACUAGGAUCAAACAAGCUAAUAUCUACACACUUCUAGGAUACGGUUACAAUUUUUCCUUAAGAACAACCGACACACACUUAUUUUCUACUAUGAACUAUAGAGCUUUGAUUUCCUUAUUGAACUAUGAGAAUACGUAUGCACGAG
rnacentral:lncRNA from 1 species